rnacentral:misc_RNA from 1 species
UAUCCGUAGGUGAACCUGCGGAAGGAUCAUUAUUGGAUUUUGAAACUUCAGGCUGCUGCUGGCUCUCCUCGGAGGGCAUGUGCACGCUUGUUGUCCAUUAUUUCUCCCACUGUGCACAAAUUGUAGACCUUUCAGUAGGCCUAUGUUGUUUUUCACAAUCUCUGAAUGUAAUAGAAUGGUUUUGAAUCUUGGGAAAUACAAUACAACUUUCAGCAACGGAUCUCUUGGCUCUCGCGUCGAUGAAGAACGCAGC